UGUUAUGUCUCCCUCUGGUGGUGAAUAAAGCAAUACAACCAUGUGCUUAUAUGCUCAUACAUGAUUAAUGUGAGACAAUGAUAGUGGCUCCUAAAAUCAUCCUUUAACCCAGGGGUUCUCAAACUGUUUGGAGCCAGGGAUCCCCUACAGACUUGGCUAAUGAACAGCUGAAACCCACAGGCUGCAUAAAACAUGGAGGCAGUCUCGGUGACGUCACACAUGGGUUUCUGAGGACGCGUUUUGAAACCCUGAUGGCGGUCACAAUUUUGGAAAUGUUAACUCAACGUAGCUUUCAACAAAGAGACAGAGCUGAGGCUGGCUUUUUUUUGUUUUUUUUUUGUUUACCUGUGUGGCAAACAACUACAACACGCCCCCCUGUCAGUCAACUUAGCCGUGCCCCUAUUUAAGUUCAUUCUUGUGUAAGUCCUUGCUCUUCUAUUAUCUUAAAGUAUGCAUUACAAAAAUAAUUCAGCUCUGUUUUCAGAAGCAGAAACAUGUCUAAAGUUGGGCUUUCUAACAUGGAACCUAAUGGGGAUUCUUUGGCUUUUGCAGCCAGCCUCAAGUGGACAAUUGAGGAAAUGCAUGUUUUGCACUUCUGCAUUGGAUUUGUUUUUCAACACCUGAUGUUGCUGCUUUCUGAGGCCUUGCUGAUCUGCAGAAUGGAUAUGAAUGCAUGAAGUCUUUCUAUAAAAUCGGUUUCUUUUCAUUCAAUUCCCCAAUGAGUGAUGUGAUUAUCUUAUGUUAGUAACCAUUUUUAAAAUAAAAAUUCAGUUAUUGUUUGAACAAUGUUUCAAUUAAAAUUCCUGAUUGUGCA